AUCCAGCUGACGAAUUCCAAUUAGAACGAAACGCGCGUCCUAGAU
rnacentral:hammerhead_ribozyme from 1 species